GAUUCCCUAGUACUGCGAGUGAAGCGGGAAAAGCUCAAAUUUAUAAUCUGGCGCAAGCCCGAGUUGUAGUCUGUAGAAGCGUUUUCGGCCGUUGCCUUGGACAAGUCCCUUGGAACAGGGCGUCAUAGAGGGUGAGAAUCCCGUCCUUGCCAAGCUCCCAACGUCUUUGUGAUACGUCUUCCAAGAGUCGAGUUGUUUGGGAAUGCAGCUCAAAAUGGGUGGUAAAUUCCAUCUAAAGCUAAAUAUUGGCGAGAGACCGAUAGCGAACAAGUACCGUGAGGGAAAGAUGAAAAGAACUUUGAAAAGAGAGUUAAACAGUACGUGAAAUUGCUGAAAGGGAAGCGCUUGAAGUCAGUCGCGUUGGCAGGGACUCAGCCUUAACCGGUGCAUUUCCUUGUCGACGGGCCAACAUCGAUUUCGGCCGCGGAAUAAGGGCACGGGGAAUGUGGCAGCUUCGGCUGUGUUAUAGCCUCAUGUCGCACGCCGCGGACGGGAUCGAGGACCGCGGCUUUUGCCUAGGAUGUUGGCGUAAUGGCUUUAAGCGACCCGUCUUGAA
rnacentral:rRNA from 1 species